UAAACCCAAAGGCGAAAUGAAAGUAAAGAGUGGAACAUUGUGGUAAGAUUUUAUCUUUAUUUACAAUUUCCCUCAAGGGAAGAUGGAAAGCUUAUCUUUGAUUAAAUGUAUUUAUAUGUUUGUCAUUGACGUAGCUUUCUCGCAUUCCCGGGGCGCUUGUUUCUCGCUUUGCGAGUCUAUGCGCACCUAGAGCGUACACGCUGAUACCCGAAAGAUGGUGAACUAUGCCUGGCCAGGACGAAGCCAGGGGAAACCCUGGUGGAGGUCCGCAGCGAUUCUGACGUGCAAAUCGAUCGUCGGAGCUGGGUAUAGGGGCGAAAGACCAAUCGAACCAUCUAGUAGCUGGUUCCCUCUGAAGUUUCCCUCAGGAUAGCUUGCGCUCAAUUGAGACGAGUCUCAUCCGGUAGAGCGAAUGAUUAGAGGCAUUGGGGUCGAAACGACCUCAACCUAUUCUCAAACUCCAAAUAGAUGAGACCCCCGGCUUUCUUGAAAAAUGAAGCCGUGGGACUAGGAUCAGAGUGCCAAGUGGGCCAAU
rnacentral:rRNA from 1 species